rnacentral:rRNA from 1 species
GACGGAAGGUGCAAGCGUUGCUCGGAAUCACUGGGCGUAAAGGGUGCGUAGGCGGCUUGGUGGGUCUGGUGUGAAAGCCCCGGGCUCAGCCCGGGAAGGGCACUAGAAACUGCCGAGCUGGAGUGCCGGAGGGGAGAGUGGAAUUCCUGGUGUAGCGGUGAAAUGCGUAGAUAUCAGGAGGAAUACCGGUGGCGAAAGCGGGUCUCUGGACAGUUCCUGACACUGAGACACGAAGGCCAGGGGAGCAAACGGG